GUUCCUCUAUCACCUGAAGCUGCUGAACAUUGGGAUGGAGGAUGAUCUGGAAGUGAGUGAGCCUGGAGGUGGGACCAAGGAGCAGGAUCCUGAGGGAAAUCGGGUCAACUUCCAGAAAUGGUAUGAGAAAUUAAAAGUCAUCAGGAGGAUCCAGCUGCUCCAGCAGGAUGCAAAUGCGUAUGACCUGGAGCCUGAAGAGUGAUUUGGGGCCUGGUUCCAGGCCAUGGAGCCCCUCAGUGUCCAUGAGAGCUACUGGGUCUCCUGCUAGCUGGAGCUUGCACACCAGAAGGCGAGCA